UACAGAGGUCCCAAGCGUUGUUCGGAUUCACUGGGCGUAAAGGGUGCGUAGGUGGCAGGGUAAGUCUGAUGUGAAAUCUCCGAGCUCAACUCGGAAAUGGCAUUGGAUACUAUUCGGCUAGAGGAGUGGAGGGGGGGACUGGAAUACUUGGUGUAGCAGUGAAAUGCGUAGAUAUCAAGUGGAACACCAGUGGCGAAGGCGAGUCCCUGGACACUUCCUGACACUGAGGCACGAAAGCGUGGGGAGCAAACAGG
rnacentral:rRNA from 1 species